GAGUAAAGCAAGAGGUUCACUGAUGAAUUAUCACUAAGCAAAGAAAAAGAAGCCUUUCUUAGCGAGUUAAGGGCAGGGAGCCAGUAUUUUGCAGCAUACUGAAUGGAGGUAUCCACUUCAAAAGAAGAUUCUUCAAUAUGUGAAUGUACUUGAAAAAAUAUAUGCCCAUUACCUAACCGCUAGUCAACACCUCUACUCCUGUUAUCAUUUAUCUCCUAAACAAUUGCAAUUAUGUCUUAAC
rnacentral:lncRNA from 1 species